rnacentral:lncRNA from 1 species
CUCAUUGUAUUCUUCAAUCCUCAGAUGUCAACUCAGGAAGGAGCUGAGAGAGAUGGAUGGAUUUACGGAGAAGUAACAACAAGGCUGGAGAGAUGGCACAGUGGAUGUGUAAGAUCAUGAACACAAGAUUAUAAAAUAUAAAAUGCUUCAUUCAAUAGCUUAUUCUUAUCAGGAGUCAAGACAAAGGUCAAAGGGAAUAAAGGACAGACAAUAUUCGAUGUAUGUUUGAUCUCUUUACGGAGAUUACCAAUGUAAUCAAUGCAAUGUCAUCUGAACUAUUCCAUGGAGUCACAAAGGAAGGCUAAGGAAAUUAUCAUGUGGCACCCAGGCAUCUAUAACAGUCAACAAUAAACAUUUGGAGAAACAGUAAACUCUAGAAAUGAACAUUUGAAAUCAGCAGAGAGAUGCUUUAUCAGACAGUGGAUUUACGAAUCAACCAUAUCUUUCAGAGGUGCAGUCCCUUGGAACUCGAUUCUCCAUUAUAAUUCAGCUACUUUUGUGGAUUGGGUACAAGAACUGAAUCUCCAGGUUUACCUUUUGUUUGGAAAUUGACCUUCUAGAUUGGAAUGCAGUGAUUGAGAAAGAGGAGCAUUGAUGAAAUGAAUUAGCUGUGCAAACCCGAUGACCUGAUGACCCGAGUUUGAUUCCAGGAAUCCACAGUGGAAAGAGAGAAUUAACUCGCUCACAAGCUUUUCCUUUAACCUCCACAUGUGAGCAAUAGACCAUGCACACUGAAAAGCUCUUAAACACACAUUUUACACUUGGAUACACGCUCAACAAAUAAAUUUUUUUUUAAAACUUAAAAGAAAG